rnacentral:rRNA from 1 species
GUGCCAGCAGCCGCGGUAAUACAGAGGUCCCGAGCGUUGUUCGGAUUUAUUGGGCGUAAAGGGUGCGUAGGAGGUUCUGCAAGUCGGGUGUGAAAUCCCAUCGCUUAACGAUGGAACUGCAUUCGAUACUGCAGGGCUAGAGAUUUGGAGAGGGAAGCGGAAUUCUCGGUGUAGCGGUGAAAUGCGUAGAUAUCGAGAGGAACACCAGUGGCGAAGGCGGCUUCCUGGACAACAUCUGACUCUGAGGCACGAAAGCUAGGGGAGCAAACGGGAUUAGAUACCCUCGUAGUCC